rnacentral:misc_RNA from 1 species
GCUGGGGAAAUUUUCAUUUCUGUUUUGACACAUCGAUUUUCUGUUUUCAUUUCAAGUGUGUGUUUGUUUUAAUAUUGUUUAGGUUAAUGACUAAGGACCCAAACUAAAGAAAAACUGAAAACUACUUUACAGUCAUCUGAAAUGGCUGCCACCUACUUGGAAAUAAUAAAUAAUAGCUUGACAAGAAAUAAAAUUUAGUGUUUGCUCCAUUUUAGCAAUGACUAUAGUUGACAUAUGUUUUUAGAAUAAAAGAACAACACAUUUGAAGUUUAAUUGAAUGCUGGAGUUUUUCCUUUCCUAUGUGCUGGCCCCAAUUAAGUUGCUUAACUCUUUGUACAUAACAAAUCUUUAAUGAAU